rnacentral:lncRNA from 1 species
UGGUUUUAAAAUCGAUGCGGAAGUGCCUAAAUUUACUUUUUAUUUUUUAUUUUUUUGAAAACCUUGAUCCCAGAGGAUGUCAGAUCCGCCACAAAAUACAGAAAUUCACUGUUCACAAGGACAGAGUCUCCCCUAUAUUUACACGGCGUCCCACAAGUACAAGAUACAAUCACAAUAUAUAACCAUACACAUACAAUCACCACAUCACAUAUACCAUUUUACAUUCAUUCAAUCACCAGCUUAUCAUAUUUUCAUCAUAAAUCCAUGUCUAUUAGUUUAAAACAUUUUCCAUUCAAAACUUAUUUUACUAAGAAUCGUGAAAAUCGAAAAAUUCUUUUUAAAACCGUUUCCCUCACGAAAACAUUUUUCUUUUAAAAAUACGCUACUACGAGGGAUAGAAAACCGUUUUCAUUUCAUAAGAAAUUCAUAAGACUUUCACAAAACCAAAUUUGUUCAAAUAAACGAAAACCAACUGAACCAUA